rnacentral:rRNA from 1 species
UACAGGGGGGGCAAGCGUUGUUCGGAAUUACUGGGCGUAAAGGGUCUGUAGGUGGCCAACUAAGUCAUCCGUGAAAUCCCUCAGCUUAACUGGGGAACUGCGUGUGAUACUGGUCGGCUUGAGUGCAGGAGAGGAACGCGGAAUUCCAGGUGUAGCGGUGAAAUGCGUAGAUAUCUGGAGGAACACCGGUGGCGAAGGCGGCGUUCUGGACUGUAACUGACACUGAAAGACGAAAGCCAGGGGAGCAAACGGG